UAGAGUUUGAUCCUGGCUCAGGAUGAACGCUAGCGGCGGGCCUAAUACAUGCAAGUCGAACGGUGCAGCAAUGCAUAGUGGCAGACGGGUGCGUAACGCGUAUGCAACCUACCUUUUAUCGGGGGACAACAUUUCGAAAGAAGUGCUAAUACCGCGUAAGAUAGUAGUGGGACAUCCCACAGCUAUUAAACUUUCGGGGAUAGAAGAUGGGCAUGCGUCUGAUUAGCUAGUUGGCGGGGUAACGGCCCACCAAGGCGACGAUCAGUAGGGGAACUGAGAGGUUGAUCCCCCACACUGGCACUGAGAUACGGGCCAGACUCCUACGGGAGGCAGCAGUAGGGAAUAUUGGGCAAUGGACGGAAGUCUGACCCAGCCACGCCACGUGCAGGAGGAAGGCGCUCUGCGUUGUAAACUGCUUUAGCAGGGGAAGAAAAGACUCAUGCGUGAGGAAUUGACGGUACCCUGAGAAUAAGCACCAGCGAACUACGUGCCAGCAGCCGCGGUAAUA
rnacentral:rRNA from 1 species